rnacentral:rRNA from 1 species
ACUCCUACGGGAGGGCAGCAGUGGGGAAUAUUGCACAAUGGGCGCAAGCCUGAUGCAGCCAUGCCGCGUGUAUGAAGAAGGCCUUCGGGUUGUAAAGUACUUUCAGCAGUGAGGAAGGUGGGUAUGUUAAUAGCAUAUUCAUUUGACGUUAGCUGCAGAAGAAGCACCGGCUAACUCCGUGCCAGCAGCCGCGGUAAUACGGAGGGUGCGAGCGUUAAUCGGAAUUACUGGGCGUAAAGCGCAUGCAGGUGGUUUGUUAAGUCAGAUGUGAAAGCCCGGGGCUCAACCUCGGAAUUGCAUUUGAAACUGGCAAACUAGAGUACUGUAGAGGGGGGUAGAAUUUCAGGUGUAGCGGUGAAAUGCGUAGAGAUCUGAAGGAAUACCGGUGGCGAAGGCGGCCCCCUGGACAGAUACUGACACUCAGAUGCGAAAGCGUGGGGAGCAAACAGGAUUAGAUACCCUGGUAGGCAGCAC